rnacentral:rRNA from 1 species
AGUGAACGCUGGCGGUAGGCCUAACACAUGCAAGUCGAACGGCAGCACAGUAAGAGCUUGCUCUUACGGGUGGCGAGUGGCGGACGGGUGAGGAAUACAUCGGAAUCUACUUUUUCGUGGGGGAUAACGUAGGGAAACUUACGCUAAUACCGCAUACGACCUACGGGUGAAAGAAGGGGAUCUUCGGACUUUGCGCGAUUGAUUGAGCCGAUGUCGGAUUAGCUAGUUGGCGGGGUAAAGGCCCACCAAGGCGACGAUCCGUAGCUGGUCUGAGAGGAUGAUCAGCCACACUGGAACUGAGACACGGUCCAGACUCCUACGGGAGGCAGCAGUGGGGAAUAUUGGACAAUGGGCGCAAGCCUGAUCCAGCCAUACCGCGUGGGUGAAGAAGGCCUUCGGGUUGUAAAGCCCUUUUGUUGGGAAAGAAAAGCAGCAGGUUAAUACCCCGCUGUUCUGACGGUACCCAAAGAAUAAGCACCGGCUAACUUCGUG